rnacentral:rRNA from 1 species
CGGGGAAUAUUGGGCAAUGGGGGCAACCCUGACCCAGCGACGCCGCGUGGGGGAAGACGGCCUUCGGGUUGUAAACCUCUUUUGUACGGGAAGAAGGAAGUGACGGUACUGUACGUAUAAGUCCCGGCUAACUACGUGCCAGCAGCCGCGGUAAUACGUAGGGGACGAGCGUUGUCCGGAAUUACUGGGCGUAAAGGGCGCGCAGGCUGUGCUGCAAGUCAGCUGUUAAGUGUCUGGGCUUAACCCGGGCAUGCGGUUGAGACUGCGGUGCUGGAGUGCUGUAGAGGCAAGUGGAAUUCCCAGUGUAGCGGUGAAAUGCGUAGAUAUUGGGAAGAACACCGGUGGCGAAGGCGACUUGCUGGGCAGCAACUGACGCUGAGGCGCGAAAGCCAGGGGAGCAAACGG